rnacentral:SRP_RNA from 1 species
GCCAGGCGUGGUGGCACAUGCCUGUAAUCCCAGCUACUCAGGAGGCUGAGGUGGGAGGAUUGCCUGAGCCCAGGAGUUCUGGGCUGUAGUGCACUAUGCCAAUUGGGUGUCCACACUAAGUUCAGCAUCAGUAUGGUGACCUCCCGGGAGUGGGAGACCACCAGGUUGCCUAAGGAGAGGUGAACUGGCCCAGGUCGGGAACGGAGCAGGUCAAAACUCCCGUGCUGAUCAGUAGUGGGAUCAUGCCUGUGAAUAGCCACUGCAAUCCAGCCUGGGCAACAUAGUGAGACCCUGUCUCU